rnacentral:lncRNA from 1 species
GCGUAGGACCUCUAUUUUCGAUACCUUCAUAAUAUUUGACGAUAAAAUUUGUAAGGUAAUCAUUGAUAGUGGUAGCUGUAUCAAUGCCAUCUCUAUUAAUACGGUUAAGCGAUUAGGAUUAACUCCUAUAGAUCAUCCCAGUCCAUAUCGUGUGUCUUGGAUAGAUUUCUCCUCUAUUCCCAUCAACGAUGUUGUGUGCCCA